rnacentral:rRNA from 1 species
GCUACUCCUACGGGAGGCAGCAGUGGGGAAUAUUGCACAAUGGGCGCAAGCCUGAUGCAGCGACGCCGCGUGAGGGAUGGAGGCCUUCGGGUUGUAACCUCUUUUGUUAGGGAGCAAGGCACUUUGUGUUGAGUGUACCUUUCGAAUAAGCACCGGCUAACUACGUGCCAGCAGCCGCGGUAAUGCAG